AUGAUCCUGAGGUUAUGUAGGUCAUUGUGGUAUAUUCAUAUACCCAAAUUGAGCAUUGUGAGGCUUAUCCCGAGGACGAGCGUAUCCACGGGUGACUCGGGGGCUACGACCCUUCGACAUACCAGUUUUAAGUAAGCUUGCUGUUGGUGGCUUGAGGACGUCGGCAGUUCUGACAUAUCUAAAUAAUAGUAGGACAUUCCUGGUACUGUAUAACUAGUACUUGUCCUACUAGACUGCACCUAGACUUAUUAUGCUCUGAUUAGGAGUGUUUACGUUUGUAUCUAACUCCUAUCACUUCCUGUUUAGUAGUGCACUCUAGUAAUUUGGUUUUUGCUUAUUCGUACAUUUCUUUUCAUUAUUGCUUCCGCACUGUGUACAUGGCUACGUCACUCCCACGUGACGGCCAGCAUGCAUUGAUCUCAGUCGGGGUGUGUCAUUAAAAAUAUUGUCAC
rnacentral:sRNA from 1 species